rnacentral:rRNA from 1 species
UACGUAGGGUGCAAGCGUUAAUCGGAAUUACUGGGCGUAAAGCGUGCGCAGGCGGUGAUGUAAGACAGUUGUGAAAUCCCCGGGCUCAACCUGGGAACUGCAUCUGUGACUGCAUUGCUGGAGUACGGCAGAGGGGGAUGGAAUUCCGCGUGUAGCAGUGAAAUGCGCAGAUAUCAGGAGGAACACCGAUGGCGAAGGCAGCCCCCUGGGUCAAGAUUGACGCUCAUGCACGAAAGCGUGGGGAGCAAACAGG